rnacentral:ncRNA from 1 species
AAUUCGGUUCCCUUCUCCGCAAGGAAAGGGAUGAAAAGGGAAUCCGGUGCAAAUCCGGAACAGUCCCGCUGCUGUAAGCCCCAUUGAGGGUCGGCGAAAAGCCACUGCCAGAUUCCAAAAUCUGGUGGGAAGGCCGCCAGAACCCGGGGUAAGUCAGAAGACCUGCCAAUUCAUUUU